rnacentral:lncRNA from 1 species
ACCCACUGACACAUAAAAAUUUCAUUUGCCUUAUAAAAUGAUUUCAUUAUAUCUGUCAUGAGUAUUCCUAUUAUAUGUGAAUGAGUAUAUAUGUUGUUAUUCACCCACUGGGCAUAAGCUCAGCGCAUUGGAUUUUCCAUGCGCAGGUAAUAGAUAGAGGAAGCAACAGUUAGGAGGUCUGGUUCUGCAUCAGCACAGAGACAUCAUCAUAACCAGUCAGUCACAAGAUUUGUACAGAGGUUGUUUAUGGUUGGCAUGUACAUUAAUAGUCUACCAAGAGUCUGUAAAUGAG